AGCCGCGGCACAGCCGGCAGUCGCCGUCCCGCCUCCGCCUCGCCACCGCGCCGUCGUGUCCGCCAGGCGAGUCCGCUCCGGGUCGCGAACGCUCAACCCGACUGGCGCUGGCACCGGCCGGCGCAAGGAGCACGCGUGCCUUCCCCCUGGAGGCCCUGGACAUGGAGUCCUGGCCGUGACAGCGCUCUUCGCGUGCGCCCGGCACCCGCGAGCGAGCGAAGGAAGGCCUACGAACGAGCCCGACACGCCAAGGCCGCCGUCACGGGCCGCGGGGCCUCGCGGGUGACAUCUCGCCGCGUGCGGGUGCGCGAGAGAGCAGGGUGCUCCGCUGUGAUCUUGUGAUGCCACCCCUGCCGUGCCGCCAUGGCACCCCUCGGAGUGACCUGAGCUGGCGGCCGUGUGUGUGAUUUGCGCCAUUCUCCUGACGUUUUGGUGCGUUGUGGUACCCGAACGGAAGGUGCCCUGCAGCGCGGCGCGCCAGGGGGAAGACCCUCCUCGCCGUCCUGUCCCGCCCCACCCUCCGGCCCCUCGCAACCCCAGUGAAGGGGUUGGCUUGCUAACUUGCUUGGCUUCAAUUGUAGCGCUGGGGUUGGCGCCCGAGUGUGCGAGUGUGUAUGUGUGUGCAAAGCUGUGUGUUAAAACCGCUAUUUUUCCGUUUUCGGAGAGAGUGUGACUCUUUUUGUGACGUCUGUCUGUGUGAGUGCAAAACAGCCAAGCCUGUUCUUCGAUUUGUGCCAAUUGGAUUACGACCUGCAGAGCUUCGCUUACAACGAACUGCCCGGGGAACACUCACAAGGCGGCUCGAGUCCGAUGGGCGACUGAGGCCGGUGUCUGAGGCCCCACGGCCCUGGGCUCCGCGCCCCGCUCCGCGCCCCGCUCCGCGCCCCCGGGCCCCUGCAGGGGCGUGCGCCCAGCAGCCACGAGACGAAGGCGUCUGCGCCAGCCGAGGCCCGCUGCCCAGGGCGCGCAGGGCCUCCAGGGGGGCGCGGGGGACGCAGGCCCGCACGGCCUCGCCCCCGGCGCCCCCGCGCCUACCGCAGUGCCAUCGGCGGCGUCACUAGCGCCGAUGAUCGUGCGCGUGGUGGCGGAGGGCGAGGCGGACGGCGCCGUCACCGAGGUGCCCAUCACGCCGCUGACGACGUGCCGCGAUGUGGUGGAGUGCUGCCGCGACCCGGGCGACGAGCCGUGCUGCCUCGUGGGGACGUGCCUCG